rnacentral:misc_RNA from 1 species
UCGCGGCCUAUCACCGGCAGUCUCCUUAGAGUGCUCAACUAAAUGGUAGCAACUAAGGACGGGGGUUGCGCUCGUUGCGGGACUUAACCCAACAUCUCACGACACGAGCUGACGACAGCCAUGCACCACCUGUGCACCGGCCCCGAAGGGCUGCCGUAUUUCUACGGCAUUCCAGUGCAUGUCAAGCCUUGGUAAGGUUCUUCGCGUUGCAUCGAAUUAAUCCACAUAAUCCACCGCUUGUGCGGGUCCCCGUCAAUUCCUUUGAGUUUUAACCUUGCGGCCGUACUCCCCAGGCGGUCAACUUCACGCGUUAGCUUCGUUACCAAGGAGUUGCUUCCCCGACAACCAGUUGACAUAGUUUAGGGCGUGGACUAC